AUGACCCCAAUGAUAGCACGAGCUGGGAAGCCCAUGAAGUCUCAGGAGUUAAGUUUAAGGAAGAUAAGAUGUGCCAGUUAUAAUUACCAGGAUCUGCCAGCGCUUUUGUUGAGCCUGCCUACCUUUCCUUCUUUCAUUCUUUGUUGGCUCGCAGUGAGGGAUAUCGAUUACUGGUCAUUUAUAGUCAGUUUGUUCUCGUCCCCACAUAAAGAGAAACAAAGCGAGCAGUACCCUUUGGUGUUCUCUACCAUGAGUCAAGGGCUAGGAAUCCACUGA